AAAGAAACUAACAAGGAUUCCCUUAGUAACUGCGAGUGAAGAGGGAAGAGCUCAAAUUUAAAAUCUGGCAGUGUUUUGCUGUCCGAGUUGUAAUCUAGAGAAGUGCUGCCCGUGCUGGACCAUGUACAAGUCUCCUGGAAUGGAGCGUCACAGAGGGUGAGAAUCCCGUCUUUGACAUGGACUACCAGUGCAUUUGUGGUGUGCUCUCAAAGAGUCGAGUUGUUUGGGAAUGCAGCUCUAAAUGGGUGGUAAACUCCAUCUAAAGCUAAAUAUUGGCGAGAGACCGAUAGCGAACAAGUACCGUGAGGGAAAGAUGAAAAGAACUUUGGAAAGAGAGUUAAACAGUAUGUGAAAUUGUUGAAAGGGAAACGCUUAAAGUCAGUCGUGUCGGCCAGGGAUCAACUCAGCUUUCUCUGCUGGGUGUACUUCCUGAUCUGAUGGGCCAACAUCAGUUUUGACUGCUGGAGAAGGGCAGAGGGAAUGUGGCACCUUCGGGUGUGUUAUAGCUCUCUGUCAGAUGCAGUGGUUGGGACUGAGGAAAGCAGCAUGCCGCAAGGCCGGGUCGUUCGACCACGUUCAUUGCUGAGGAUGUUGGCAUAAUGGCUUUAAUCGACCCGUCUUGA
rnacentral:rRNA from 1 species